rnacentral:rRNA from 1 species
CAGCCGCCACGGGAAUACGAAGGGGGCUAGCGUUGUUCGGAAUUACUGGGCGUAAAGGGCGCGUAGGCGGCCAUUCAAGUUAGAUGUGAAAGCCCUGGGCUCAACCUAGGAAUUGCAUUUGAUACUGUUUGGCUUGAGUUCGGGAGAGGUGAGUGGAAUUCCCAGUGUAGAGGUGAAAUUCGUAGAUAUUCGCAGGAACACCAGUGGCGAAGGCGGCUCACUGGCUCGAUACUGACGCUGAGGUGCGAAAGCGUGGGGAGCAAACAGGAUUAGAUACCCGAGUAGUCCCUGUCUCUUAUAC